GGGUCAUUAGCUCAAUUGGUAGAGCAGCUGACUCUUAAUCAGUUGGUUGCAGGUUCGAGUCCUGCAUGGCCCACCA
rnacentral:tRNA from 1 species